rnacentral:rRNA from 1 species
ACACAUGCAAGUCGAGCGGGGAAGGGUAGCUUGCUACCUAACCUAGCGGCGGACGGGUGAGUAAUGCUUAGGAAUCUGCCAUUUAGUGGGGGACAACAUUCCGAAAGGAAUGCUAAUACCGCAUACGUCCUACGGGAGAAAGCAGGGGAUCUUCGGACCUUGCGCUAAAUGAUGAGCCUAAGUCGGAUUAGCUAGUUGGUGGGGUAAAGGCCUACCAAGGCGACGAUCUGUAGCGGGUCUGAGAGGAUGAUCCGCCACACUGGGACUGAGACACGGCCCAGACUCCUACGGGAGGCAGCAGUGGGGAAUAUUGGACAAUGGGCGAAAGCCUGAUCCAGCCAUGCCGCGUGUGUGAAGAAGGCCUUAUGGUUGUAAAGCACUUUAAGCGAGGAGGAGGCUACCUAGAUUAAUACUCUAGGAUAGUGGACGUUACUCGCAGAAUAAGCACCGGCUAACUCUGUGCCAGCAGCCGCGGUAAUACAGAGGGUGCGAGCGUUAAUCGGAUUUACUGGGCGUAAAGCGUGCGUAGGCGGCUUUUUAAGUCGGAUGUGAAAUCCCCGAGCUUAACUUGGGAAUUGCAUUCGAUACUGGGAAGCUAGAGUAUGGGAGAGGAUGGUAGAAUUCCAGGUGUAGCGGUGAAAUGCGUAGAGAUCUGGAGGAAUACCGAUGGCGAAGGCAGCCAUCUGGCCUAAUACUGACGCUGAGGUACGAAA